rnacentral:lncRNA from 1 species
UCGAACGCAAAAAUGGACAACGAUAACCAUAGAUCGGAAUCAACGUACGACAACCUCCACAUGACUCAAAAUCACAAACGACUCCAAAGCUUGUUCCCUCACUUUGUUCAUGUGCGUGACUGUGUGUGCUCGAUCUGAUGGUGUUUACUGGUUUUCCAAGGAGAUUGGGGAAUUUUCGGUGCAAGGUGGACGGAGAUAGUUGUUGUUGGAGUGAAAAAGUCGAUGGACUUCAAUGGGUGUUGUCGUUUGGUUCCAGUGGCUGAUUAUUUUCUCCUUGGUCAUUUUUUUGGUUAAGAAGAGGCCAUGAAAUUUGGCUUCCUACUAUGAACAAACAAUGGGGAGUGGGGUUUUCUCUGAUGUGAGAAUUGAGGUUGAGCUUUUUCUGUUUGGUUCCAGUGGCUGAUCAUUUGCUCCUUGGUUAUUUUUUUAUUAAGAAGUGGCCAUGAAAUUUGGCUUUCUACUAUGAACAAACAAUGGGGAGUGGGGUUUUCUCUGAUGUGAGAAUUGUCGCUGAGCUUUUUUCAGAAUAUAGGCUUUCUUCUUCUUUUUAAUUCAUCUGUAUCCCUUAUGUCUUGUAGAGUCUAUGUUUUGU